rnacentral:rRNA from 1 species
CAGCAGCCGCGGGAAUACGAAGGGUGCAAGCGUUACUCGGAAUUACUGGGCGUAAAGCGUGCGUAGGUGGUGGUUUAAGUCCGUUGUGAAAGCCCUGGGCUCAACCUGGGAAUUGCAGUGGAUACUGGGUCACUAGAGUGUGUCAGAGGAUGGUGGAAUUCCCGGUGUAGCGGUGAAAUGCGUAGAGAUCGGGAGGAACAUCAGUGGCGAAGGCGGCCAUCUGGGACAACACUGACGCUGAGGCACGAAAGCGUGGGGAGCAAACAGGAUUAGAUACCCCCGUAGUCCCUGUCUCUUAUAA